rnacentral:rRNA from 1 species
GUGGCAGCCGCCGCGGUAAUACGGAGGGGGUUAGCGUUGUUCGGAAUUACUGGGCGUAAAGCGCGCGUAGGCGGAUUGGAAAGUUGGGGGUGAAAUCCCCGGGCUCAACCUGGGAACUGCGUUUAUGACUGGCAGGCUAGAGUAUGGCAGAGGGGGGUGGAAUUCCACGUGUAGCAGUGAAGUGCGUAGAGAUGUGGAGGAACACCGAUGGCGAAGGCAGCCCCCUGGGCCAAUACUGACGCUCAUGCACGAAAGCGUGGGUAGCAAACAGGAUUAGAUACCCUAGUAGUCCACGCCCUAA